UGGCGGCGUGCCUAACACAUGCAAGUCGAACGAGAAAGUGGAGCAAUCCAUGAGUAAAGUGGCGACCGGGUGAGUAACACGUGACUAACCUACCUCCGAGUGGGGAAUAACUCCGGGAAACCGGGGCUAAUACCGCAUAACACCGCAAGGUCAAAGCAGCAAUGCGCUUGGAGAGGGGGUCGCGGCUGAUUAGCUAGUUGGUAGGGUAACGGCCUACCAAGGCGAAGAUCGGUAUCCGGCCUGAGAGGGCGCACGGACACACUGGAACUGAAACACGGUCCAGACUCCUACGGGAGGCAGCAGUGGGGAAUUUUGCGCAAUGGGGGAAACCCUGACGCAGCAACGCCGCGUGGAGGAUGAAGCCCUUUGGGGCGUAAACUCCUUUCGACUCGGACGAUAAUGACGGUACGAGUGGAAGAAGCACCGGCUAACUCCUGUUGGCCCCCCAAAAGGCCC
rnacentral:rRNA from 1 species